UACGUAGGUGGCGAGCGUUGUUCGGAUUUAUUGGGCGUAAAGGGUUCGUAGGUGGUUCGCUAAGUCUGACGUGAAAUCCCGUGGCUCAACCACGGAACUGCGUUGGAGACUGGCGGACUUGAGUAUUGGAGAGGUAAGCGGAAUACCAGGUGUAGCGGUGGAAUGCGUAGAUAUCUGGUAGAACACCGAGAGCGAAGGCAGCUUGCUGGACAAUAACUGACACUGAGGAACGAAAGCGUGGGGAGCAAACAGG
rnacentral:rRNA from 1 species